rfam:Selaginella moellendorffii unplaced genomic scaffold SELMOscaffold_154, whole genome shotgun sequence.
GCCGCCCUAGCUCAGCCGGUAUAGCGCGUGGCUUUUAACCACGUGGUCGUGGGUUCGAUUCCCACGGGCGGCG